CCUCUCUCUGAUGAUGAAGUGAUCGUGUAUCUACUUGCCGGCCUAGGUCCGGACUAUGAUUCCUUUGUCACAUCUAUGACAACAAAGGAGUCUCUCACCUUGGAUGACAUAUAUGCCCAUAUAAUGACGUUUGAAGC